UGCGCAUAUGCAUACAGGUG
rnacentral:misc_RNA from 1 species